rnacentral:tRNA from 1 species
GGGGCUGUGGCUCAGUGGAAGAGCCUCUGCUUGGCAUUCCAAAGGUCCCAGGUUCAAUUCCCAACAACCCCA